GGCUCCUUGGUCAAGCGGUUAAGACACCGCCCUUUCACGGCGGUAACACGGGUUCGAGUCCCGUAGGAGCCACCA
rnacentral:tRNA from 1 species